UUUUUGUAGGCAUCCUGAAAUCACAGUAACUUGUCCGUAUCUCUCAAGAUCCAGAUUUUGGUGCUUUCUGUCCAGUAGGAGCCUGGAGCACUCAGAAAAAGCACUGGGAUGAUUGCCCACCUUGGCAUUUUUCUCCAGUGCUUUUCCUUCUAGGUCACUUAGCUGCUACAUGGGCUCUCCCAUAUCCAUACCUUAAGCUUAGCCUCCAAGUCUACAGAGCAACCAGAGCUACAGGUGAAAUCACUAACUUUAGUAAGAUUGUUUUUUGUCAUUUCCUCUUACCUUUUAGCUACUAUAGUGUACCACAAAGAAGUCCUUGGGGCUGGAAGACAUAUUAGGAGAAAGGAAAAUAAUUGAGCCAAACAAACUUUGGAGAAGCAGUUGAUUGAGAGGAUAUGACAAUGUCUCAAAGAAAGAGGAAGAGGAUGAUGAAGUAAAAUGAAUAUACAGUUUUUUUCCACAUUGCCGAUCAUAUCUUAAUAGAGAUGUUAGUUAUGAUUUUCCACUGACUUAAGUGAGUAUAACUGGUGUACACACUGUGACGGAUUUCUCAUGGAAUUGUGAUGAUUUCUGCCCUUUGAUUAUAUGGAACCUAAUUUUGUGGGCCCAGGGAAUGAGCCUAAUAUCCUAUCUGCUGUCCCUUUGUAUAACUGCAGAAGAGGAAACAUUAUGACUCUUUGUCUUGAAGUGCCACUAAAAAUGUCAUUUCUUAUAAAAGUGACUCAAUAACUUUUGGUUGGAAAUGGCUGGAAUUAACUAGAAAAGGGUAAACACUUGAACCAAAUUAUCUCCAAAGCACCUUUUUGGAAGUGGUUGUCUUAAUGCCACAGUGAUUGUACAGUGAGAACAGAACUACUGUUUUGUGGACUCCAUUAACUCCCCUAAGCACAGCGUUGCCCUUCUUAGACAAUUUUUUUCUCAGUCUAUUUUGACUAGUUUAGCCCUUUACAUCUCACAGAAUUCAAAAACCAGCCCUGAAAUAGCUAUUGUAGCUUCCUUUUGCUGAGUAUUUGUACUUUUUUCUUACAUAUGUAACAUAAUCUUUCACAGAAUCACUUUAGAUAAUAAGAUACACAGUUUGUGUUAAAGUUAGUUGUGGUAAUUCAGAAAUAUGAAAUAUAACUUAGUUAGCUAAUUAGAUAGCUGUAAAUGAAGGGUAGAUCAUGAUUAUGGUACUCCCACAAUCUGCCAGCCCAGAGCACAAGAAAAACUUAGAUUUGAAAUACUGGGAAAGCUUAAGAUCUCUGCACUCAAUUUGAAGUUUCUAAAUUAAAAGUUUCUCUUCAGGACUAAGGAGAUUGAAAUAGAAUCUUCCCUAGGUGAUGAAGUACUGUUUUUCUUCUGUUAGGGGAAUUUGUGAGAAAUUAAUAUUCUUACCUUUCCCAACAUACCCUCUCAAAUACACAUUUAUAUGAAGAGUUGCCUUUGCUCAGCUAUCUUCUGUGAUGCUUAAGUAGCUCUGUUAUUCCCAAGUCUUCUAAUGUAAAACAAAUGUUGUUCUUGCAUCCAGCUGCACUCGUGGGGCAUGUACCACCUAUGGCAGGCCAAGCUAAAGUAGCUUCUUAUGAAAACGGGUGGUGUCAAUUGUUCAAUUGUUCCUGUAAGACUAAAGAUUGAAAGAAAAUGUCUGUCUUGGUUAACUUUUAUUCCAAAACUCUGACCCAACUGAGCAUAGACAUCUCCGUAACAGAGAUGUCAGAAUGACUGUGACCCAAAAUCAUGUUAUACGUCAGUAGCAGGGUUCUCGAAGAGAUACCUUUUGAAAUGGAGCACUGUGUAAGACCAGAUGGUGGCCUGAUUCUCUAUUGUUCCUCUUGGCUCUCUGGUGAUAUGUAGCUUUCUAUAUUGCUUUAUAUAUUCUCAUAGCACAGCCAAGUAUUUACAUUCAGAUAGCUCGGAUGAAGAAAAUGAAAAGGCCAAACAUAAAGAAGCUGCAGAAAAAAUGUUUGUCUCUGAAGUGUGUGUGAGUGUAUGUGUGUGCGUGUGUGAAUCCCUGUGUGAUAUUAGAGGUGUUCUAAGUAGGUAUUAAUCUUGUUUUCUCUCUCUCUCUUUUUUUCUUCUCCAUUUUACAUGAAAGCUGCCACAAUUGGGAUAAGAGUGAAAUGAACAUAAGUAUGAUAAAUGAUAAAGUGCUCCUGGGAGUAAAUAUACCACUCAGAAAGAGCAUUGCUAAUCAAGCAUUGCAGCCAGCUAAUGCACUCUGAGAGCAAGCACCUCAAAAAGAUUCUAAAUUUGAAACAUUGAAGACUGGCAUUUAGCUUGAGUAGUUUCUGGUUUAAGAUGAAACUACUUCACCAGGGGAUCACAAUAGCAUAACAAAAUCUUGAAAUGGGGGGAGGCAUGAUGUCUUGUAUUAAAUGACCAAUGAGAUAGAGGGGAAAAAAGAGAGCUAAAAGCUAGAUUUUCUAUCUGAUUUGUACAAACUGAUUGUUUGAGCAGUGAAUAGAAUUAGGGAAGGCUGAGAAUAAAAUCUGGCCCUUUUAACUCUGCAGUAGAUGUAUAACUGCUGGUGUCCACUGGGGUGACUGAGGUGCUGCAUUGUUACAACAGUAUCUUUGAGAGGUGUUUGUGAAUGCCUUCAUAGAUUUUGGUAGCCAAAAUGCCAAAAGGACUGGCCUGGCAUGCUGAAUGCAUUGCUUUUAGAGAAAGCAGCAUAUGUUCCACUUGUGAAUUUCAUCUGCCACCCACUCUUCAGAAGUGUAACACUGCCCACACAUCUUGCCUGAAUGACUUGAAAAAUAUAUUUUUAUUUGCAAAUGAUGCUCAAAGUCAGAACUAUCAAAGCUGUGAUGGGUCAAGAAAAUCACCCAGAAGAGGUUCUCUUUUAAAAAAACAGGAUGAAAGAACUCCUGGCAUGAGUGAAUUGGAUUAACUUUAGAAUGUGUUUGGGGUGAAUAUUAGCAAAGUAUUUUAAAUUACGUACCUAAAAAACUUGGUAGGUACACCAUGCCUUCGUGUAUGUUUACAAAAUUUCACAUAGUUGCAAAUAUGAGUUUGCUUAAGUUCAGAAAAUGCUUUCAUUUUGUCCUAUGUUUAUUCAUCUUCACUUACACUAGUGAAUUAGUUGUUCAAUAACUCCAGGAACAUGGGUGACCUUCCUUGUGUCUUAUCUAGUCCUACCAUAUGAUAUGGAAGGAAAGAAAAUUGCCUGCAGUAAUCAAGAUGUGGAGGCACUGGUUCAAGAUUAUGAUGCUUUCUAUUUUAAUCUGUAUUCCUUUCCCAGUCAUUCCUGAUGUUUAAGUUUGCAUUCUGACCAGCACUGAUCACUGAGCUGACAUUGCUAAGCAAACAUAGUAACUUCAAGAUCUCCUUCUGUAUUAGUAAUUGUCACUGCCAUGUAUAUAAUGAUCACUAUUUUUACAAUGUGCAUUAUUUUGCAUUUAUUAACUUUUAAUUUCAUCAAACAUUUCAUUGCACAGUCAUUUAGUAUCGUGAGAUCUUCCUACAGUCAGUUUUAAUUUUGACAGCUCCAGAUGUUCCAAAGGAUGAUUCAGGCCUCAGGAAAUCAUUACACUGCCUUUAAAAUUAUUAAUUUGGAUGAUUUUUACUAACUUCUCCUUAAUGCAAACUUUUAUACUUUUCUCUGAAGCAACCAGAUCUAAAAACACCAUUGCUUUUUAAAUAAAAUUUUACAUCCUCUAAUAAUCCUUUGAUUUAGGGAUUUGGAGUUUUAAGAAACGUACCAAGUAUUCUGAGAUCUAUGCAAAAAUGUCAGGUGUUGGCAACACUGCUCAGACUUUCAUCUCAUGCCUCCCUAGGGUUCAGAUGGCUGAGCAGAAGCAGAGAACACAACUGAACGUGUUCGUGUUACAGUUGCACUGUGAGUUACCAUAACUGAGCUAAUUGGGCACACUCUCUUUGGAGGUCUUCUCUUCAGGUGUACGCACAUUAGAGAGACAAGUUGCUUCCAAAUUGGAACCAGAAAUUAACCUCAUGUGGGCUGAGCCUCAUCUGCAGCAGCAAACCUAAGUGAUUUUUCCAGCACAUCUUCAGAGAGGUAGAGCUGAGCAUCUGUAGAGGACAAUUCCAUGCUGUAUGCGCUGAUUCUUCUAUUUGCUGAUUCGGAUCAGAAAGCAAUUACUUGUUAUUAUUACAAGUAUAACCAAGUAGUUUUAGAUUUCAACAGCUGAUUUACAAAUAUCUGAUAAUCUAGCGCCCAUGAGUGUAGAGACUAAAAUGUCUUUGCACAUUCCUUGGGGAUGAAAGGGCUCGUUGAGAUGAUUUUAUUGUGAAGUAUUUAUUAUUAUUAUCAUUAUUAUUUUGCAGUGUCUCCUGAUGACACUCUAGUGCAUUAUACUGCUCACAGUCUUGAGAGUCAAGCACAGCUUGGUCGUCUGUAUUGUCAGAUCCUCUCUCUUCCUUCUCUGCCUUCAUGUAGUAGAAGAUCCCAUAACCGCAUGGAUGGGACACCAUUAAACCCCUUUUUACAUUUCUGAAGUGAAACAGGCUGACCAGGAUCCUAGUAAAUGGAAUCAUCUUCCUAUCUGUGUAGAUUUUCUGCUAUGAAAAAUUAUUAAAUCCUCUUUCCUUCAAAUAAGCUUUAAAUGGGAAUUCUUAAUAGAAACUAGAAAAUUUUGCAGCAGUUUCAAUAUUACUAGUUAUAUUUUGAACACUUAGAAGUAAAAAAAAAAACAAGAGACAUUGUAUUUUUUGUGUGUCUGUGUAUCAAAGAUAACAGUAAAAGUGGCUUGUUUUGAACUUCUGGAUGUAUUUUUACCAUUUUCUUAAAGGAGCUGUAGUUCUAGGCAUACUCAGUAAGAUUAUUCCUUCUAUACCUCUAAUUAUGAAAAUCUUUACAAUAUUUUCUCUUUACAGGAAGAUCUGUUAAGUUGGAGCACGUUGACAUUUUCCAACUUGCUUAAGUACAGUUGAGAAGGUUGCUGCAUGCUCAAUUACUUCACAUAGUAUAGGCUGUUAGUAAGCGGGACCACGAUCUGGCAGCCCGUAGCUCAGUAUUAGCUUAGUUUGUGUUACAGCCAAUUGCUGUCUGACCUCUCCACACUGCAGAGGAAAUGCAAUGCCAUCUGUAUAUCUCUUAGUCACAUUAAAUUAUGUCAUUUAUAUUACAUUGGAAUGCAGAGUUUACUUUAUGUUUUGCAGUAAAAUUAGCAGAAGUAACAAGAUAUAAGCAGAAGCGCAUAGGUGGAAGUUUGAGGGCCCCUUCCCUCUCUGGCUUGCUUUGAUACCGCCAGGUGUUGAAUUUAGGGAGAGAGGAAGGUUGUUUACAUCUAUGAAGGUGCUAGCAAGCGUAAAUGUUUAUGGGGUUUAAAAACCCUCUGAUGUCAGACAUCUAUGUGUUUGAUCUUACAGGAUAAAGUCUUUACUGUUAAUAAAUAACACCCUUAAAAAUUUGAGCAGGAGGAGGAGGGGAAAGCACAUUGAAAAUAGAAAAUUGAUAUAAAAUUGCGACUAUAUUAAGGUAUUAAAAAUGAAAUUGUGUACAUUAAAAAACAACUUCAAGUUAAUACUUCCUGAUAAACAAUUGCACAUACAUCACUGCCUUUUUAUCAGUCUCGAUGAAUGUGUCAGGCUCGUACUCUGUUAUUAUGGUCCUGUUAUUAUAAGGGGACAAAAGAAAUCAGGAUUUCUCUCCAAGGAGCCUGUUUCAACUCCCCUGGGAAUAGAGAGAAAAAACAUUGCAGAUUUAAGUAGAGCUGGGCCCUACAUAUAAUUUUUCUGUCUUUAAUUUCCACAAUUGCAUCUCUCUCUCAGUAUACUCCUAUGGAUCCACUAUCUGCUGCUCAAAUAAAAUAUUACCCUGCCCAGAAUAUGAGUUACAUUCUACAUGGAAUAGCUUCCAGAAGUUACCACUUUUUUUUUUUUUAACUUGAACUUUUGCGUAAAAUGGAAAGGCAAUAAGACUGUCAGUUAUUUGGUACAGCCCAUGCAGGCUGGAACAGGAUCCAGCUGCUCUUUGGACAUUUAUUGCUUCAGUCCUUUCCUGUUAAAUGUCCACUGUCAUUUUGGUUUUAUGUGAAACCCUUCAUUCAAAAAUAUGAUCGCAGACUAGAAGGACUUAAAAAGUUUUCUAUGUGGUAGUUGAUAUAAAACUAGACUAUCGCUGGCUUGACAGGCUUACAGAAAUUUUCAUUGUUAAUUUCAGUCCAAAGGAUUUCAGAAAUAUUUAUAAAUGGCGACAAUUUAUAUGAAUCUUUGACAUAACUCAUCCUAUAUUUUGUUUUAUAAACAUUCUGAAUGUAUUCACAAGGAAACAGGAUGUGCACUGUCUGAGGAGCUUUCUACUCUUUCCUUAAAAGGAUCUGCUACGUGCAAGUUGUACAGAGCUGUUGUAUAUCACUUUGGUCUUAAAAAAAUGUGUGUACAUAGAAAGGCCAAGGAUGAAAUCCUUGAAUUCAAUAGAAAAUGUUUUAUUGGUUUAAUUGGAACAAUGAUUUCACCUCAAAUCCUCAAAUAUUGAAAACUAGCAUAACUUUAUUAAAGAUGAUGAAUUAAGCUGAAGGGUGCUCUAGUUGCAUUACAGCUGGGGAUCUGGCCCUCAAAAGGCAUGUAUUCUCAGCGUAAGAAAGCAAUCAAGAGCAAAUAUGUCAGAAGACAAGUAAAUGAUGCAAACUUGUUCUGCAAGUUUAACCCUGGGCUAAAGAACAGAGCAAGGCCUAUGCUGUAGUCCUCUGCUACUCAUUUGUACGGGAGUGACUGUCAUUUUAAAUAAAAUACAAUUAAGUAAACUUGUGUUCAUGUCAGAUUUACAUCCUCAUUUGCAAUACAUUAACAAAUAAAAUGAAAAUAUAUUUAUACGUAUUAUAUAAGCCGAUCUGAAAUCCUGAUGUAUGUACCCACAGAUUUAUAAAUUGUAAUUGUAAAUCAAUGUAAAUUGCUUGGUCAGAACGUUAAUGCCUUACCAUCAUAGAAAUUAGAUACAGAAAAGACUGAUUCAUUUAUCUAGUCCAUCUCUAUGCCAGUGAAGAAUUAUUCCUGUUCAUUCUAAUCUUUUCUAGUGUAUUGUCCAGGGUAAUUCUGAAAGAUUCAAAGAGAAGGAUUUUUCUAUUUCCCUGUCAGAUACAGAUUUUAUUUCUUUACUUUUUCAUAACUUAAACUGAGGAAGGUGGCAGAGUUUCAGGCCCCGAUACAUCAAACAUCUCCAAAGCACCUAUCCUGCUCAAGAACAGAAAAGAACAGUAGAAUUAGCAUAUAAAAAUACAGAGAGAAACUGUGAGGCAUGUAAUCAGUUCUCUUCAUCCAUACCCAGAGCCCCUCACUGAUGAGAAAUCCUCUGCCACCGCUUUCAAAAAUUGGCUUAUUUCCAUUUCAGAAUAUGAGAAGCAAGGAGUUUAAUAAACAGGUGCUAAAGUAAAGCGAAACCCAUAGUUACGAAAUGGAGGUAUUAUUGUCUUGAUUGAGGCUCUUAACAUUAAGGGCGUACUUGGUUAAGUUUUAUCUCUCUUUCAUUUGCACAGAAUCCAUUUCCCAGCUCCGGAUGUACGGGAGAUUAUAUAUAGAGAUCUGACACCCAUCUCUAUUUGGCUGUUGAAUCUUGGCAACUGAGUCCAUUAACCCCAUAACGUCGUGUACUCCUGGUGUCUGCUCGAGAGCUGUGUGCUACAAGAGGCAGCAGGGUUUACAAGAAAGUGAAUGAACUGUGAGACAAACAGGUUCCACAGUUGUUGCUGACACUGACCACACAGAGGCUUUGUCCAGUCAUCCAUUUCAGUGCAACAGGAAGUUUUGCGUCUUGCAGUGAAUGACUGAUACCUACUGAUAUCAUGAGCUUAUCGUGAAUUUAUGCAUAGCAUGAAAAGUAAAAGAGACGAUAGCUGUGUACAGAUGUGUAGCUGGUUUAUCAUUUACUGAUCUGGCUAUCCUUGCUCAGAUGUUUUGUUCCCGCAUGAUAACUGCCUGUCAAAUUAUAAAAUGGCCCUAGUUAAAUGGCCAAGCUAGAAAAAGAAUGAUGAAAGAUAUUGUGAUAAAUAUGAAAGAGUGAAUUGAAAGAUUCGAGCUUUGCCUCUGGUUAUGAUCAAUCUCAUUUGGAUCUCAUUAAUGUUUCCAGAAGCGUCCACUGAAGUCCAUGGUGCCCAGUUAGGGAUAUUGUUAGACAUAUUUUUCAGAAAUUGUGGGGAUUCCUUUCUUCCAUUAAUUUGCUAGAUAUUUUUUAAUGUAACACUUGUCUGAAGUUCUGUUUCUUUUGAAAUGUUUUAGGAGCUGAUGCUUCCAAAUAAUUUAGGUGAUUCUGAAAAUGAUGUCCUUAAUCUUUACAUCUUACCUUCUCAUUAUCUCCAGAUUGAUAUAAUGCUUUCGUUAAAAGAAUGUGAGGAAGGUGACAUAAUUCAAUGUAGUAAAUUGUGUUGAGAUCUUCAGAUGGAAGGAGAAAAAUGCCAACUCUUUAUUCUCUGGUUAUUUGUUGUUUUUUUUUCCUCUUCUGUCUCUCUCCACAUUUUGUGUACUUUCGAACUGAUUACUUAGCUAUCUGGCUUGGGACUAUUCCUCUUCCGAGAAUUAAGUCAUUUAGUACGAAAAAAUGAGCUUAGUAAUGCAUACUGUUCUUUGAUGGAAGGCUACUCUACUUUGAUCACCAAUACAUCAUCAUACAUUACAAUGCUUCAUAUCUGAUUCUCUUUUCAUUUAUAGCAGCACAAAUCAGGAAUAACUUCAAUGAAGUCUGUGGAAUUAAACUGAUGUGAGUGAGGAUAUUCAGACUUUCCUUCUAUUCAGACCUCCUUAUUCUGACAUGUAAAUUGACUACCUUUCUACAAUAGAAGCCAUUUAGGAGUAAAUUUCCAAUGCGCUGUAUGAUCAUUAGAUUGGUAUGUAAUUCAUGUGUGCCAUUUUGAAAAUGCCAGUGCCCCUUUGAAAGGCUAUGAAGGAAAAAUGGUUACUUCUAUAAUGUUACUUAAAAGGCUUCUGUUUAUCAAAACCUCACUGUGUCAUGAAGGUAGUGUUUGUGCUUAGUGCAGAAAAAGCAUGCUUGUCUCUGUGACUGAUCUACAGAACAACUCUUGAAUAAUGGAAACUUAUUUUGUGCAUAUAAGAGAGAUAUAUAAUCCUCCAUCUGCUCCUUGGAAAAACUAGAAAAUUUGGCUUUGCUAUUUCUGAAUUUAAUCUUAAUCUUCAGAGCACUAAAACUCUCCAGUGGGGCCAGUGGUUGAACUGAGCUACUGAAUAUUGCCUGCAGAAAUUUAUUACAAGAUUGAAUAAUACAGUAUUUUCUCCAUGCUGUUUUAACCUCUUGUAUAUCACUAAGGUAGACAUUUGGGGGUGGAGAGUGAGUGCUGUCUCUUACUGCACGUCAUUUUAAUUUUGGGUGCAACCAAAUAAUAAGUGAUCAUAGUUAUACUCAUUUUUGUCUUUUUCCUCCUUUAAAAAAUAUUUCUGCUGCUGAAGUGGCUACAGUUCAGUUGGUAGUGAGGCUACAGAGUUUCAUGUUUUCAAAUACAAAAGUAAUUGCCGUGGUUGUUAACACAACUGAUUUCAUUACAUGGGAUUAUACUCCUUAGGCAAGGUCUCGGCGACUGUUCCACCCACAUGGGAGUCUCAAUGAAGUUCUGGCUGAUCCUUGAGCAAGGCUGGAGCUUACAGUUCUCGCAUUGAAGACCCAGAGGCCUGCUAGCUAAAUAUGGACAGAUUAUACAACAAAAGAAGAAACACACAUAAGAUAUUAGAAAAGAUUCCUGGAGCAGUGUAACUACCACCAUCUUCCAGCAUAUGCACACACCUGCCAUAUAUAUAUCCUCUUUGAGAUACUCAUGUAUGCAAGAAAACAAUGAACAUAAGCCUUAAAAAAUAAAAAAAAAGAAAAAUGGAAAUCCUGAAACAAUCUGAAGUAUGCCAAGGACCUAAACUGUAAUCUCAUUUCAUAUGAACAUGAAGGAAUUCUGCUGUUUACACCAGCAGCUCCAAAGAUUUUGUCUGUGGAAAGCAGUAUGUUGAAAGUUUUUAAUUUUGGUGUAUUUUAAUGUAGUGGGAAGAGAAGAGUUUCAAAAUGUUGGGCUUUUCUGAUCAUGUUUAGUUAGUGUUUUUUGGUAAUUUGUGGAUCACUAAGAAUUACCUGACUGAACUGUAGUUCCUUGCACAAAGACUGAUAAUCUUCUGGGAUUGGACGUGAUUUGUAGUAUGCAGAUUUCCAGGAUCUCAAUCACAUGUUGAAAAUUGCUAAUUGGUAUUUUGUUAUCAGUUGCCAUAUCAGCAAUUAUCUUUUCAGGCUUUCAAGUUAACAUCUUCUGCAGUGGGUUGCAGGUCCACUAAAGCAGAGCAUACGUCAGUAGUAAGAUUUCUCCAUAGUAUGCACACUUUAAAUGCUCUCUUUCAAGCAGAACAGCACGUCAAAAGCUUUAGGAAGGAGGAGACAUUUCAUUCCUCUUUUAAACAGCAUACUACCAGGGUAUUAUGUUAUUCACUGACUACCAUUCAGAUCUCAAUCCAAGUAGAAUAGAAAAAUGUAUUCAUACUGCCAGUUUAGGUAACAGCAUUUCACUUUAAAUCUAUUUCCCUGAUUGUCUACUUGAUGUACAUAUUGGAUUUUCUCCUGAGAUCCCUUCUGGAUUAACUAGAUCUCUUUCCAGGAAAACUUGGGAAUGAAUUGGCCACUACAUUAACUUAAGGUCUGAGACAAUAUGGAUGUGAUGGCACCAAGUCUUGCUCCCUUCUUUCAGCGUAGUCUUUCAAUAGUAUCCCAACAAACCCAAAGCCAUCACACACCCUUCUAUCACAAGGGCUUUUUCCUUGGAUGUGGUAAUCCUUAGGAUUGUGCUGGUAAAGCACCAGGUCACUGGAUUUCAUUACAGCCCACACAUAAAAAUAAUAAAUUAAAGCAGCGUAUAUAAAGGCCCAUGGUGAGAAUACAGAGGCCAUGAUCAUGUGGAAAACAGUGCAUGGAGAAUUGCCAUGCAGAGCACAAAUAGUCUUAAAUAGAAAAUAAAUAGGAAAAUACAACAUAAUCCCCAACAGUCUCUAAGGCAAAAAUCCCUUGAGUCUGCUGAUCCAAAGAGGAUCAACCAUGGUGCCACAACAUUGGUAAAUGAGUGAGUAGCUACUGGGAGGGUGCAUCUUCCAGUGAGUUACAGGCAAUUAUUCAGAGUGAACUCUCUGUAAUUUAUGUACAUUUGUUGAAAGAAAAUUGUGAAGUCAUACCUAGUAAAGGGCUCAGUUAAAAGAAGGAAGUUAAAGUUUACUCCCUGUGCAACUAGAAGAAUAUAGAGAAUUUGUUUGAAUAUCAAAUCUGAACACCAAAAAUCCACACUGUGGAGUUUGUUCUACAGAGUUGUAGGAAAAUAUCUGAUUUCAGUUUGUAAGAAUGACUAAAAUAUAGCAGCUGUUUAUGUCUCCUGAUUUCUUGAAGCUUUGCUUUGACUUUUAUGGCCAGCAGCAAAAAGAGCCCUUGUGUAAGAAAAUAAAUUUGAUCUUCUUUCCUUUUAGAUACUCUUCUACUUUAGCAAUUUUUUUUUUUACCAAGGUACUCUAACUGAAUGUAGAAAAUCUCAGAAACUGCAGAUUCUUUCAUUUCACUGUUUGAAAAGAUAUGUCCAAGUCACUGGUGAGAGUCAGAAUUAUUCAGAAAGCUCUUCUUUGCUUUUCAUUUACUUUUUCAAAUAGAUGUCUUUACACUAUGCUGUGUUUCAGGUCACUCUAAAAAUGGCUUUAAUAUUUGUAGCAAAGGGUAGAUAGCAUCAAUUUCUCCAUGAUAAAAGGAAUUAAUAUAUGAACUGUGGUGUAUAGAAAAUGAACUUUGUUUUAAAACAACUUAAUGCACCUUUUAUUUUUUUCCUAUAACCAAAUUGUUUGCUUCUUUACCUCACUCCCUCCAUAGUUUGAACACAUUUAUGGUUAAAUACACAAUGGGUGGGAAAUAACCAUGCAGUAACCUUCCUUUACUGAUGCUUGACUAUUACUAGAGUUAAAUAAAAAGAUAUUUGGUAGUUAUAAUAAUUUUGUCAAAUGUUUGCAAGAGGGAAGAAACAGGUUAGAAAAGGCGUGACCUAAAGUUUGUCACUGACCACUGCUACUUUUACUAUUUUAUUUUUAUUUUUUUAUUCAUUGUAUAGUAAUUUCUACAGGCAGUAGUCAGGUUCUGUUCUACAGAAGGCCCAUGUUACAGCUGCUUGGAAUUUUCCACUAAACUUUUCUGAUUAAAAAAAAUAGAUUAUUAAAUAAAAAUAUUAAAAUAACAAAACAUACGUACUUUCCUGGGUAAAGUAGUGCUGAUUUGAUGGAAACUUGAAAACAAAUUUGUAUUUUUCUUGGUGGUUUUCUUUUUUUCCUCAUUCACAGACUGAAAGAUUUAGCUGGGCAACCAACAAGGCCACAAUUCAAAAUGGUACUACCAAGGGACUGUGCUUUACAUGUCAUGAGGUCUUAUUCUUGCAUAUGAAUAUGAUGCCAUUCACGUUGCUUCUGUGUAGCCCAGCUGAUUUUGCCCACAAGCUGGCAGAAUUUCCCAAUUUAAAGGAAGUAGCUUUGUUACUGGAUGUAUUAGAGCUACCAUACGUGUGCACAGCAGCUGAUUUGCACAUUGCACAGUAACCCUGGCAUGGCCUGGAUCCAUCACACCUGCUGUGCACGCACAAUUGAAACGUGAAUAUGUGUUAAUCAUUGCUAAAAGUAGCCAACUAUGUCUUUCUAUGGAAACUUUCAAAUUAAAUUGAGAAAAUUAAUUUUCUUCUGAGUAUUCUGAAUGAAGAAAACAAGGUAGUAAUGUGAGCUCUGACCAGGCUAGUAAAAAUGUUUUCAGGUGGACCUUUUCCCAAAUAUAAGAAAAACACUGGCAUUUGUGCAGAAGUUAACAACUCAAGUCACAGCAUACAAGUUACAGUAUUGAUGGUAGUAUUGUAGUACACUGCUGAUGAGAAAACUUUGUGAGAUAAAAUCUUUAACCUAGAGCUAGGUUCAAAGUGCAGGUUUCACAUCCAGAUUUCACUCCUGGUAAAGUAUGCCGGAUUGAUUGCCAAGCCCUCUGGUAGACAAGUUUUGUUAGAAAUACGAGCUAGCUGCCAUACCUGGAUAUACCAUUCUGUUCGUAAUUCAGACCACUUUAAAAGAGCAAUAUCAGCGACUGAGUUUCUCAGAGCAGACAAGUGCCUAAGUUAUACAUUUUUUUAAUGGGAUCCUUUCAUUAGCCUUAGCUGAUAUUACUCAUAAACCAACCCUUGCGCUACCAGGUUUAAUCAUUGUCUCGAGGCAGAGGCUUAUUAGUGCAAGGUCAUUCUAUACUUUUUUAUUUCAUAUUUUCCCUUAGAGAAAGUGAGCGAUGUCUCCAGAAAAAUCACCUACCUCCCGCCUAGCAUAUCAACAUCCACAGACUUGCUGCCAGCAUAGAUGUAAUGCCUCUUGGUCAAAACUCAUGUUGCACCAAAACAGAAAGUUUACAGUAAAAAGCAGAUAAUAAGAUCAAGCCUUGAAACUUUUAUGUGGGAUUAUGUAAGCUGUUUAAAGAAUUAAUGAUAAAACUUCUAACUAAAAAAAGAAAAAAGAAAAAAGGGAGGUGUUUCUUGAAAAUAUUAAAUCUCUCAUUGUGAAUUAAGUGCUUUUGAAAUGCUGGAUUAAUAAUUCUGGAGAUCAAAGCCUUACACCUGGCUGAGCUACUGACACGUCCCUAUGGCCUUGGAGCACCCCACAGUCUCGCCCUUGGGGGAACCAGAGCAAUCUGAUUCCUGUGCCGCUGUUAGGGAACUGAGGUGCAAAAAGGCAAAGUCACAUCUUUAAGCUCACAUUAGAAGUCUGUGCUAAAGCAGGGAUUUCAGACCAGGCAUCUGAUCUCCUUGGGUAGCAAUCCAAAUGAGGACUGUUGCCUGUCCUACAAAAGAUGCAGUGACAGCCAGAAAGCCCCUGAUCAAAAAGGGUGGAAGAUUUCCCUGUGCCAACAAGUCCCUGGGCCUUCAGCAGAGAAGCACCAAAAAAGCAGAAUUAAGACAGAGAUAGCAUUUUCAAGUGGCUAACACCAGCGUGGUGGCGACUGGACUGUGAUCUAACAGGCUUACAUGUUGUAGCAUAGUGAACAAUGACAUACAGUAGAAUCUUUUUGUAAUUCUUUGUCAUGUUAACAUUCCUUGUUUUGGAGAGUAUUUCCGACUGAAUUUCAAAUAACCCAAUUCAUUGGGAAAGAUUUCUGCUCACACAAUGUUUAAUGGACUGGCUUUAGAUCAAAAUAUGUCAAUUGCACAGAAACAUAGUAUCAUAAAAUCCUAGAAUCAUAGAGUGGCUUAGAUUGGAAAGGACUUUAAAAAUCCUUGAGCUCCAACCCACUGCUGUGGACAGGGCUGCCAUGCACCAGAUCAGGCUGCCCCAUCCAACCUGGCCUUGAAUGCCUGCAGAAAUGCGGCCUAUUGGUCUCCUCAGAAUUGCCACCUAACCUUUUUCUCCUGCCUGCCUCUCCAGGCUUCUCAGCAGCACAUGGGCUGGGUUUCCAGGCUUUUUCACUCCUUGGUGCCUUUUUGGACAAGUAACCAAGAUACCACGAUUUCUCACACCUCUAUGUUCAUUGCUUCCUGGUUUUUAACUCCUGGAGUCAUACAGAAUAUACUAAGAGGAAUACAGGUUCAGAAUCUGCGUGACAAAUCAAAGGUUUCUGCUUGACAGGAAUUGUAGUUCUUUGAUCUGAAGUACUGAUACUGCUUUGUUCAUUUAUAUCAGUAGGAAAUUCAGCCCAUUUUUUUGUUCCCUGUUCUGUGCAUACUCCUUAACCCCAAAUAAUAAUAAAUAAUGUUUUAAAAAGAAGAAUUAAAGUCUUAUUUAUAGCCACGUAAAUUGAAAGGGUUUCAACUAAUAAUGUGAAUCACAUAAUUUAAAAUAAAUAAAUAAAAGAGAUAUAGGCAGAAAAGCAGCCAACCAUAUGUUUUCACCAUAUGCUGAAGCAUACUUACUGUCCCUUGUAUCCUGUAAUCCCUGUGAAAACCAUGUACACAUAUUCACUGAUGGGAAAAAAAAUAAAGAAAACCUACAUGAAAUAACUUUAAAGCUACAAGAUCAAGUAGUGUGUAUUUGGACUGAAAAUUCAUGAAGUCAUAAUUUCUCUAAUAAAUGUAUAUCAUGAAGAUAUGGUUCUAUGGGCUUGAUCACACCACUUUUGGCUUGGAAGCUUUCCUUCAUUCACUGGAGAUGAUGUAUGGUAAUCACUAAAAGAGUAUGAAUAUUCACAUGAAAGCAUUGAUCUGUAUCCUAAAGAUGUAUCUUAUAUACCAUCUCAUCACUUCUUCAGUAGAGAGGUAGUUCUGGAUUUCUUUGUGUCUGUAUCUGAUAUCCAUUAGAUUAGUUGAGGGUUAUAGGUAUUCCCAGGAAGCAGAUCACUUAUUCUCAAUGACUCUAAGAUCUGAGCUUGACUUUUACUGCUUUAUUGAUGGAAAUUAAACAGAGGUACCAAGUAGCGUUCACAUAGCAAUAGGAUUGGUUGAAAACAUUCAAUUUUUUUUUCAUUGAAAAAUUUGUUGCUUGAAAAUAAAUAAAUAUUCACCACCUUUCCUUUUACUAAGGAAAAAUAUUAUUUAAAUUGAAUUUUCCAUUAGCAAAACCUGAGAUAAACUUUUCAUUCCAGCUAAAGUAGAAGUUCUUUGCCUUUGCACUCCCAACAUGCCAAUAUGCUAGAAGUUUCAGUACUGGCAGUAUAAAAGCCAGUGUGAGCUCUUUGCUGGAGCCCAUCUUGCCACAGGAUGCUACCCCUGUCACUAAAGCUGUUACACAUCCACUGCAGGGGGCAGAGGGUAGUACAGUCCAGGCAAAGACUGGAUAGGAUUGCAUGAUCCCAAACUCAGCAGGAGCAGUGAGUUGCCACCUCUCCUCAAGGCAAGAGCUUAGGAGAUGACCAGAUAAAACCCAGUCUGUGAUCGCAACACUGGUAGUGGCUGUGGUCUAGAUACGUCUUACUUCAAUGACCUUUCUAUUGGAAAUGCAAGAUCCUAUUUCUCGUAUGUUUAGCUGAUUGGUUCCAUACCGUAAUUCACUGAGGCAGGACUGAGAAAAUCUGUGCAGGUCAGAUAAAAGUGGAAAUUGCUUGUCACUGUAAAAUAGAAGAAAGAGAGGCAAGGAGCAGAAAUUUUCUGCCUCUUGAAACAAACAGAAUGGAGUUGAAAUUUGAACAGAUGAAUUGUGUUUUUAUGUUCAUAUUUUCUGUGUAUCCACAACAAUCCCAGGAGGCUUCGAAUCAACAUUUUGAAAUCUUUUUUUGAUAAACGCAUUCACAUUCUUAUCAAAAUUGACUUGUGUUUGGAUUUCUCAACUUAUACUCAAUUAGCAUCUGAACCCAAUACAUUAAGUAUAUGAUAUGGUGAUGUCUUCAGUGCAUAUAUUUCAUUUGAAUGUUUCAAACCAUUACUACUGCUACUGGCACAUGCUAUUUUACUUCAGGGGUUUUCAAGAGCUGAUUUUAUGAUUAUUUGGCUUACCCGGAAAUAUAUUUUUUCAUAAUCUACUUUCCAACUCCCAUUUAUGUCUUUUCAGAAAUAUAGAAAACAAUUAAGAUUAUGUCAGUGCUGAAGAUACUGAAGUCUUAGGUUGAAACCUAAAGUGGAACCUAUCUUUCAGCAAAGAACAGGUCAACGGAGUUAAUGGCUAAUGUGUGACUUAGAGCUAAUUUUGAGGAAAGAAUACAGAUUGAUGCUGCUAUUAUUUAAUAAUUUUUUCUCUUUAUUUUUUUCUUAUCGUUCUUCAUGCAGAAUUGAAAUGUUCUUUACUAGGAAGAUAAAUUGAAAAGAAAAUAAACCAAUAAGUAAUAUAUCCAGUCCGAUUAUUGUGCCUGAUAUAAACUUAUAUACACAUAGCAUUGAUUUCUUCAAAAAAUGAUGACCUUCAUGUGGUUAUAUCAACUAUUUUAAAUAUAAAAACAUAGGAAUUUUUCUGAGUUUGUUCCUACUUUUGUAAAUAAAUAAUCCACUACUAUUUCUGCCUCUAGCACUAUGAAGAAUACAGCAAACUUAAAAGACGGUGACUGUUAAAGGCAGAUGAGACCAGGCCCUAUGUAACAGAGGCAGAAAAUCUAGAAGUUUGUCACGUUCUUCUGAACAGAAGUUGGUCACAAUGAGAGACAACGUGCUCAAUUUUGGGCUCUGGUGUAGCUCUCAUUGUGCUGGCUCAGCUGCUGGAAAGGAGCCACGGGGUUAGAUUGAUCGCCCCGUGUGGAAUACACCUCUCAAGAAGGAUGCUGCAUAUGUUUGGCACAAUGACCCUGCACUAUUCCCUCGAUUGAGACAGAGGGAGGAAGCAUAGAACUCCACUAUUCUGGCUGAUCAGAAGUCAUUCAAAGCCACAGUAAAUUAGAGAAGCCCUUCUGAGUCCUGGGUUGUGCCUCCUGACAGCUGAAAGCAUGGGAGGAGUCAUCACAGCUAAACCAUUUUUAUGACUAUGAGACUGCAAGAUGAGGAAAACCACAACUAUCCAUUUAGGUUCAAAGGACAGGGGACUUCUGGCAUAUUAUACCUUCCAUCUGUCCUAUGAAACUAUAUGUCAUUUCCUCUGCAUUUCUCUGAGCAAUUCACUCCAUGGAAUGAAGAGUUACCUUUCUCUAUAGUGCACUUUGAGAUCUGUGGUUGAAAAUGACCUAUGUGAAUUAUAAAUUACUGUUUAUUUCUAUCCCGUGCAGUGCGCGUUUAGCUCUGUAUGUAGAAUUCAAGCAGCUCCUUGCUUUUCAAAGAAGAACAAAACUGAAAGGAAGAAGGGAGCAAUGAAUUAGAAUUUAGGAGAACUUUGCUUUGCCACAGGCUCGCUGUGUGACUUUCAGAUUUUUAUCUCCUUGUGUUUCAGUUCUCCAUAUUGAAACUAAAGAUAAUAAUGCUCCUCCUGGCUUGACCUUUGUCCUAUUUAUCUACUUUAGAAAAUUCCUAGGGGCAGUGAUCGUCCCUUAGUAUGUAUAUCACCUACAGCAGAGAAGCUCAGAUAUCAUAUGGGGCCUCUAUGUGCUGUUAUAAACAUCCAUUAAAUAAUUAAGUUAUGGCAAGUGCUGUCCUGUCUCCUUAGACUUAAAAAAAAAAAAAAAUUUGGGUACCAGUAAGCUUUAUGCUUGGCGUUAUUCUCGACUAGACUGAAUUGUUAAGGUAGGAUUUCUUCAGGAGAACUGUUGAGCAUUGUGGAGAGAGGUUCUAAUCCUGUUAAAAUGAACUCUGUAGAAACAUAAGCAAGCUUUCCCUUGGAAGGAAAAUGGACAGCUUAUUCUGGAGGUCAUCUUGAAGCAAGUGAAAGAAAAGAAGAUUAUCAGGGGUAGUAAAUACGGAUUGAUAAAGGGGAAGUCAUGCUUGGUCAGUCUGGUAGUCUUCUAUGAUGUCAUGACUGGCAGGGUAGAGAAGGGGAGAGCAGUGAAUCUUCUCUGCCUUGGCUUCAGCAAUAUUUUGAGUCUGUCUCCCAUAAUACACUUGUAGGUAAGCUUAGGAAGUGUGAAAUAGAUGAGUGGGCAGAGAGGUAGUGGACAGUGCUCAAAGGAUUGUGAUCAGCAUGUGCAGAGUCUAGUUGGAGGCUUGUACCUAGCAGUGUUCCUCAGGUGUCAUCAAUACUGGAUCCGGUCUAGUUUAACAUCUUAAUCAGUGACACAGAUAACAGGAUAGAGUGCACUCUCAGCAAAUACACUAAUGAACAAAGCUGGGAAGAGUGGCUGACACACCGGAAGGCUGUGUUACCACUCAACAAGACCUGGACAGACUGGAAAGUUGGGCAGAGUAGAACCUGAUGAGGUUCAGCAAGGGCAAGUGUGGAGUCUUGAACUUGAAGAGGAAUGUAAUUUAAGUACAGGUAGGGGCUAACCUGCUGGAAAUGAGCUCUGCAGAGAAGGACUUGGUUGUUCUCAUAGACAAAAGACUGGUCAUGAGCCAGCAGAGUGACCCAGAAGGCCAAUGGUAUCCUGGGAUACAUUAAAAAGACUGUGGCUGGCAGGUUGAGGGAGAUGAUCCUCCCACUCUACUCUGUCCUGGUGAGGCUGCAUC